GACGGGGGGGGCAAGUGUUCUUCGGAAUGACUGGGCGUAAAGGGCACGUAGGCGGUGAAUCGGGUUGAAAGUGAAAGUCGCCAAAAAGUGGCGGAAUGCUCUCGAAACCAAUUCACUUGAGUGAGACAGAGGAGAGUGGAAUUUCGUGUGUAGGGGUGAAAUCCGUAAAUAUACGAAGGAACGCCAAAAGCGAAGGCAGCUCUCUGGGUCCCUACCGACGCUGGGGUGCGAAGGCAUGGGGAGCGAACAGG
rnacentral:rRNA from 1 species